rnacentral:pre_miRNA from 1 species
GUACUCCCUCCGUCCCGAAAUAACCAAACCUCGUAGGACAUGUCACAUCCUAGUACGAGGUUGGUUUAUUUUGGGACGGAGGGAGUAU